AGAUUGAACGCUGGCGGCAGGCCUAACACAUGCAAGUCGAGCGGCAGCACGGGUACUUGUACCUGGUGGCGAGCGGCGGACGGGUGAGUAAUGCCUAGGAAUCUGCCUGGUAGUGGGGGAUAACGCUCGGAAACGGACGCUAAUACCGCAUACGUCCUACGGGAGAAAGCAGGGGACCUUCGGGCCUUGCGCUAUCAGAUGAGCCUAGGUCGGAUUAGCUAGUUGGUGGGGUAAUGGCUCACCAAGGCGACGAUCCGUAACUGGUCUGAGAGGAUGAUCAGUCACACUGGAACUGAGACACGGUCCAGACUCCUACGGGAGGCAGCAGUGGGGAAUAUUGGACAAUGGGCGAAAGCCUGAUCCAGCCAUGCCGCCGUGUGUGAAGAAGGUCUUCGGAUUGUAAAAGCACUUUAAGUUGGAGGAAGGCAGGUACCUAAAUACGUAUCUGUUUGACGUUACCGAACAGAAAUAAGACAACCGGCUAAACCGUUCUAGUGACCUAGCAA
rnacentral:rRNA from 1 species